GGAAGUAAAAGUCGUAACAAGGUUUCCGUAGGUGAACCUGCGGAAGGAUCAUUAACGAGUUUUGAAACGAGUUGUAGCUGGCCUUCCGGGGCAUGUGCACGCUCUGCUCAUCCACUCUACCCCUGUGCACUUACUGUAGGUUGGCGUGGGCUCCUUAACGGGAGCAUUCUGCCGGCCUAUGUAUACUACAAACACUUUAAAGCAUCAGAAUGUAAACGCGUCUAACGCAUCUAUAAUACAACUUUUAGCAACGGAUCUCUUGGCUCUCGCAUCGAUGAAGAACGCAGCGAAAUGCGAUAAGUAAUGUGAAUUGCAGAAUUCAGUGAAUCAUCGAAUCUUUGAACGCACCUUGCGCUCCUUGGUAUUCCGAGGAGCAUGCCUGUUUGAGUGUCAUGGAAUUCUCAACUUAUAAAUCCUUGUGAUCUAUAAGCUUGGACUUGGAGGCUUGCUGGCCCUUGUUGGUCGGCUCCUCUUGAAUGCAUUAGCUCGAUUCCGUACGGAUCGGCUCUCAGUGUGAUAAUUGUCUACGCUGUGACCGUGAAGUGUUUUGGCGAGCUUCUAACCGUCCAUUAGGACAACUUUUUAACAUCUGACCUCAAAUCAGGUAGGACUACCCGCUGAACUUAAGCAUAUCAAUAAGCGGAGGA
rnacentral:rRNA from 1 species